AAUUUCCGUAGCAAAAAUACAGUUGAUAGUCGGCAACACUCGCGAUUUCGUCACUUGCAGUUCUGUAGCGGGCGUCCUGCCGUUACCACGCACGUUUUCCAAACACCGCUGACUCAUUUUCCACCCGCUGUUCACGAAUUGAUCCAAGAUGUCUCACUCGGUGACGAUAACGCGGACGACGACGACGACGUCGGGCAGCGUGCUGUUCCUCAACACCGGCUACCUCGGUACGCUGCCGGGCCUGCUCAAACUGGCUGAACUGAUUCUGGGCGCGGCGUGCGUGGGCGUGGUGGCCCACUACUUCUCCACGACGUCACGCAUGAUGGCCACCCCUGAGCUGUUCUACCUGCUGGUCGCAGUCUCCUUCCUCAUCGGCACAUUCUGUCUGCUAUUAUCUUACGUCGUCUCCGCGGCGACGGCGUCUGUUAUGUCCAAAACUAUUUACGAGAUAAUCUACCACGGUCUGGGCUUCGUGCUGUACCUGGCGGCCGGCCUCACGCUCAUCAUCGAGGUCAACCACCGCAAGAGGAGCUACCGGGACGACUACGAGCCCUACCUCGCUGCUGCGAUUAUGGGUCUGGUGAUGGCGGGACUGUUCCUACUGAGCACAUUCUUAGCUAAUCGUCAUCGAACAUUUUAAAUUUAAUCCUAAUAAUAAACAUAAGAAACAUAGUUUUAAGAUUUGUAAGCCUUUUAUGAGAUCUGUGCUAUUAAAAUGAUUCAAAAUAGUCGUACUAAAUUUGGACGCGUAAUGAAGGAAAUGUUUUGUAAUUUCGUAUUUUCAUACCUUUUUGUGGACGAACAGGACUUUUUUAACCUUUUCUAGAAGUAGCAAUAAAAACUGUAAUAAUUAUAAAGGCUUUUGUACUAUUUUGUAACGAUGUUUAGAUAAGAACAACAUUUAAAAUUUAAUCUAUGUUCCGUGAAAAGCUGCCUUAAAAGAUAAAUUUAGAUAUAAUGUAUACUUAAUAAUUAACGAUAAAAAGUUAUUAAGAUAUUAUUAGAGAAGUUGAAAUAUACCUACUUACAAACUGACUUCCACACAAUAUGUCAUGCCGAUCAAUAACGUAAAUAUUCUAGAAAUAAUAGAGAUAUAAUAUACUUAAU